rnacentral:tRNA from 1 species
AUAACUUUAGUUUAUAUAAAAUAUUGGUUUUCGGGACCAAUGAACAUUUAGGUGAGGUUAAA